CCCGCACAAGCGGUGGAGCAUGUGGUUUAAUUCGAUGAUAUGCGAGGAACCUUACCUGGGCUCAAAUGUAUGUUGACGUAUUCUGAAAGGGAUACUUCUUCGGACAAUAUACAAGGUGCUGCAUGGUUGUCGUCAGCUCGUGCCGUGAGGUGUCGGGUUAAGUCCCAUAACGAGCGCAACCCCUAUCAUUAGUUGCCAUCAGGUCAAGCUGGGGACUCUAAUGAAACUGCCUACGCAAGUAGUGAGGAAGGUGGGGAUGACGUCAAAUCAGCACGGCCCUUACGUCCAGGGCUACACACGUGCUACAAUGGCCGGUACAAAGGGCAGCUACCUGGUGACAGGAUGCUAAUCUCAAAAGCCGGUCUCAGUUCGGAUCGGAGUCUGCAACCCGACUCCGUGAAGCUGGAAUCGCUAGUAAUCGUGAAUCAGAAUGUCACGGUGAAUACGUUCCCGGGCCUU
rnacentral:rRNA from 1 species